UACGUAGGUGGCAAGCGUUGUCCGGAAUUAUUGGGCGUAAAGCGCGCGCAGGCGGUCCCUUAAGUCUGAUGUGAAAGCCCACGGCUCAACCGUGGAGGGUCAUUGGAAACUGGGGGACUUGAGUGCAGAAGAGGAAAGUGGAAUUCCAUGUGUAGCGGUGAAAUGCAUAGAGAUGUGGAGGAACACCAGUGGCGAAGGCGACUUUCUGGUCUGUAACUGACGCUGAGGCGCGAAAGCGUGGGGAGCAAACAGG
rnacentral:rRNA from 1 species